CCUUUACAGAUGUUCUCUCUCUCUCUCUCUCGCGGUCUGAAUCUCUCGAUCCCUUCUCCUUCAUGUUCUUCUCAAUCCCAAUCUGGUGAUUCCGGCGGACUUUGCAAAUGGAGUCUCACGGCGCCGGUGAAUAGAUUCAGUGCAUGCGUGUGUGUGUGACAGAGAGAGAGAGCAAGAGAGUGCAUAAAAAGUGAAGCCUUUUUGGUUCAAAGAACCUCCCUCUUUGUUUCUCUCUCUGAAAUCGUAAUCUGAGCAUCAAAUGUAGGAGAAGAAGAAGAAGACAAUCAGACCCAUAAUUACACCUUCUCCUCACGCGGUUAGGUUUCUUUGUGUCUUGAUUUGGGAGAUGAACAAAGAACGCCCUUCUGAGCCUCUUGAUUUCUUCAUUUGGACUGUCAAGGUAUACAAUAUCAGUACAAGAUGCAGCUGCAGAGCUUCGCUCAAGCCAAAAGUCUCGAUUUGCCGUUGUACUCUAGUAAAAGAGAAGGCAAACCUCAUGCUCUUCAAUUCCAGGCUACAGUUACCAUUGAUGGGCAUUCCUUUGAGAGUCCAGGGUACUUUAGGACUUUAAAAGAAACAGAGCAUGCCGCUGCAAAGGUUGCUUUGAUGUCAUUGUCGCUCGAUGGUUUU